rnacentral:SRP_RNA from 1 species
GCCCGGCACCGGGGCCCGCGCCUGUAGUCCCAGAUACUCUGGAGGCUGAGCUGGGAGAAUCGCUUGAGCCCAGGAGUUCUGGGCUGCAGUUCGCUAUGCCGAUCCCGUGUCCGCACUAAGUUCGGCAUCAAUAUGGUGACCUCCCGGGAGUGGGGGACCACAAGGUUGCCUAAGGAGGGGUGAGCCGACCCAGGUCGGAAGCUGUUCUAGGCUUUGAUGCCCUGGUCUUGAUUUAUGUGAUUUCUAAAACCAAGGGCCUGUGAUCUGGCACGGGGGAAAAAGUGAUGCCUUCUUA